rnacentral:lncRNA from 1 species
GAGCGGUUUGGUCGUUCGUUGGGCGGUGCUGGUUUUUCGCUCGUCGACUGCGGCUCUUCCUCGGGCAGCGGAAGCGGCGCGGCGGUCGGAGAAGUGGCCUAAAACUUCGGCGUUGGGUAGGCGUUCGUAGGUUUACCCGCGGCUUCAGGUUCUGCCAACCGUUGGCGCCGCGCGCCGCGGCCGUUGGGAGCCGAGCGGCGGGGGCUGCUCGGGCCGCUGGCGUCGGGUCGGGUAUGGGGCCGGGAGGUUUCCCCUUGGGGCUUUGUUCCGGAACUGUGUCCCCGCCUUUUCCCGGCGGUGAUUCAGAGGUCCCGACGCCGGGUUCCGGGCAGUCGGGCCUCCGCCCGUCGAGGAAGGGAAGUGACUCCUCCCCGCGCUCCCCCUCCCGGGGGAGGCUGCCGCUCCUCGCAGCCUGAGUCAUUAGGGGAGGGGGAGGAGGUUGGCGGCCCUCGGCCAUCUGCUGCCGCGAGGUGGGGCGCGGGGAGGCGGGAGGCCCGGCGGUGGGGCCAGGAUCUGUUCCUCCCCCCGCAGCCCUGGGGGGCGGCCCGGGUGAGCGCGGCGGCCUUAUCUUCGGGGCGUCUUUCUUAGGUGAAAGAAAAUGGCCCGAACCAAGCAGACUGCUCGUAAGUCCACCGGUGGGAAAGCCCCCCGCAAACAGCUGGCCACGAAAGCCGCCAGGAAAAGCGCUCCCUCUACCGGCGGGGUGAAGAAGCCUCAUCGCUACAGGUAGGUCGGGCGGGGGAACAAUGGCCCGGCGGUGGCCGGCUUUGUGCGGCAGCGUCCGCUCACUCCUCCCCUGCUCGCUGCAGGCCCGGGACCGUGGCGCUUCGAGAGAUUCGUCGUUAUCAGAAGUCGACCGAGCUGCUCAUCCGGAAGCUGCCCUUCCAGAGGUUGGUGAGGGAGAUCGCGCAGGAUUUCAAAACCGACCUGAGGUUUCAGAGCGCAGCCAUCGGUGCGCUGCAGGUAAGACAAAGGCCUGGAGCCGGGGGAGGGCUGGGCGGUUUCCGCUCCCCGAGUGGGAUUAAUAGUGCGGCUCUCGUCCUCAACAGGAGGCUAGCGAAGCGUACCUGGUGGGUCUGUUCGAAGAUACCAACCUGUGUGCCAUCCACGCUAAGAGAGUCACCAUCAUGCCCAAAGACAUCCAGUUGGCUCGCCGGAUACGGGGAGAGAGAGCUUAAGUGAAGGCAGUUUUUAUGGCGUUUUGUAGUAAAUUCUGUAAAAUACUUUGGUUUAAUUUGUGACUUUUUUUGUAAGAAAUUGUUUAUAAUAUGUUGCAUUUGUACUUAAGUCAUUCCAUCUUUCACUCAGGAUGAAUGCGAAAAGUGACUGUUCACAGACCUCAGUGAUGUGAGCACUGUUGCUCAGGAGUGACAAGUUGCUAAUAUGCAGAAGGGAUGGGUGAUACUUCUUGCUUCUCAUGAUGCAUGUUUCUGUAUGUUAAUGACUUGUUGGGUAGCUAUUAAGGUACUAGAGUUGAUAAAUGUGUACAGGGUCCUUUUGCAAUAAAACUGGUUAUGACUUGAUCCAAGUGUUUAACAAUUGGGGCUGUUAAGUCUGACCAUACAUCACUGUGAUAGAAUGUGGGCUUUUUCAAGGGUGAAGAUACAAGUCUUAACCACAGUGUAACUUACAGUUUCCUUUAAAAAAAAAAAAAGUAAACCUGGCAGCUAUAGAAUACACUAUGUGCAUUUAUAAUAGCUA